GUCUACAGCCAUGCUACCUUGAAUAAGCCCAAUCCCGUCUGAUCUCGAAGCUAAGCAGGGUCGGACCUGGUUAGUCCUUGAAUGGGAGACCACCUAGGAGACCACCUGGGAAGGUGCUAUAGGCA
ensembl:rRNA 5S_rRNA 5S ribosomal RNA